rnacentral:tRNA from 2 species
AUCUGAAUAGUUUAAGUAAAAUAUUGGUUUGUGGUGCCGAUGAUAUAAGGUUUUAUUUUGGAUU